rnacentral:rRNA from 1 species
UGGCGGACGGGUGAGUAACACGUGAGCAACCUGCCUAUCAGAGGGGGAUAACGAUUGGAAACGAUCGCUAAUACCGCAUGACAUAGCGGAAUCGCAUGGUUCUGUUAUCAAAGAUUUUAUCGCUGAUAGAUGGGCUCGCGUCCGAUUAGAUAGUUGGUGGGGUAACGGCCUACCAAGUCGACGAUCGGUAGCCGGACUGAGAGGUCGAACGGCCACAUUGGGACUGAGACACGGCCCAGACUCCUACGGGAGGCAGCAGUGGGGGAUAUUGCACAAUGGGGGAAACCCUGAUGCAGCGACGCCGCGUGAGGGAAGACGGUCCUCUGGAUUGUAAACCUCUGUCUUCGGGGACGAAACGAGACGGUACCCGAGGAGGAAGCCACGGCUAACUACGUGCCAGCAGCCGCGGUAAUACGUAGGUGGCAAGCGUUGUCCGGAAUUACUGGGUGUAAAGGGAGCGUAGGCGGGCAGGCAAGUCAGGCGUGAAAUAUAUCGGCUCAACCGGUAACGGCGCUUGAAACUGCAGGUCUUGAGUGAAGUAGAGGUUGGCGGAAUUCCUAGUGUAGCGGUGAA